rnacentral:rRNA from 1 species
AUACGGAGGGGGUUAGCGUUGUUCGGAAUUACUGGGCGUAAAGCGUACGUAGGCGGACUGGAAAGUUGGGGGUGAAAUCCCGGGGCUCAACCCCGGAACUGCCUCCAAAACUUCCAAUCUAGAGAUCGAGAGAGGUGAGUGGAAUUCCAAGUGUAGAGGUGAAAUUCGUAGAUAUUUGGAGGAACACCAGUGGCGAAAGCGGCUCACUGGCUCGAUACUGACGCUGAGGUACGAAAGCGUGGGGAGCAAACAGGAUUAGAAACCCUAGUAGUCC